UACGUAGGGUGCAAGCGUUGUCCGGAAUUAUUGGGCGUAAAGAGCUCGUAGGCGGUUUGUCGCGUCUGCUGUGAAAACCCGAAGCUCAACCUCGGGCCUGCAGUGGGUACGGGCAGACUAGAGUGCGGUAGGGGAGAUUGGAAUUCCUGGUGUAGCGGUGGAAUGCGCAGAUAUCAGGAAGAACACCAAUGGCGAAGGCAGAUCUCUGGGCCGUAACUGACGCUGAGGAGCGAAAGCAUGGGGAGCGAACAGG
rnacentral:rRNA from 1 species